rnacentral:rRNA from 1 species
GAUGAACGCUGGCGGCGUGCCUAAUACAUGCAAGUCGAGCGAACAGACGAGGAGCUUGCUCCUCUGACGUUAGCGGCGGACGGGUGAGUAACACGUGGAUAACCUACCUAUAAGACUGGGAUAACUUCGGGAAACGGGAGCUAAUACCGGAUAAUAUAUUGAAACACAUGGUUCAAGAGUGAAAGACGGUUUUGCUGCAACUUAAAGAGGGAUCCGCGCGGCAUUAGCAAGUUGGGAAGGAAACGGCCUACCAAGGCAACGAUGCGUAGCGGACUUGAGAGGGUGACGGCCAACAUGGGACCGGAGCCACGGCCAAGACUCUUAGGGGAGGAGCAAGUAGGGAAUCUUCCGCAAUGGGCGAAAUCUUGACGGAGCACCGCGGGGGGAGUGAUGAAGUUCUUGGGAUCGUAAACCUCGGUUAUAAGGGAAGAACAAAUGUGGAAGUAAAUAUGCACGUCUUGACGGUACCUAAUCAGAAAGCCACGGCUAACUACGUG